ACGCCUCACCGCGAAGUAGCCCAGCCCCAGGACUGUGACCAGAGAGGGCAAGGGUCUUGCUGGACGGAAAUAGGCGGUAGCCGCAUUGCUGGCCUCCGACUUCACCAUCCUCUUGAAAAACCCAGACACAGAGUUGGCUGGGAGCUCCCCAGCCGUCCCCGCCCCCAUAUAAGAAAAGCCUGGCUAGCCGGUUUCUCAGGGCCCUGGGCGCCCGCCCAAGACCCUGGCGGACCAGUAUGCUUGCUCUCAUUGCGGAGUCUGGUCCCCUCCCCUCCGCUCCUAGCGCGCGGGAGUCGGGAUUGUGCUUGCACGACUUCCCCCGGCCCGCGGCCUGUGAGCCCAGGUCCUGGGGUGAACCGAGCGCUCGCUCGUUCGUCAGACCGUAGCGCUCCAGCGGCUGUCCUUACUGUGUAGUAGCCAAAGCUGAGGGUGAUGACUGUGAACCAGAACAGACUGCCUCGCUGAAAAGUCACUUGGAACUCUUCUGUGGCAUCUGAAGCAGAUGGACGAAGCCAAGAGGGCCGAGAGUAUCUCAGCACCUAGAAAUGGACAAGGCUGGUUAUUAGAACAAAGAUUUCGCAGGUGGUGAGUCUCAAAGGCGAAGCUGAAUGAUUUGAUAUUUCAUGAAAUUCAGAAAUAAUUUGGAGCUUUUCAAACCUGGGAUAUGGAAGAAACUGACACUCCUGUUCUCUGGGAAGAGGCAAGAAUCUGCAUCAAAGAGCCCUGGAAGCAAUCAUGGCUCAACUGUGAUGCCUUUAGAACAUGAAGUCCUCCAAGAAGAUGCCAUAGGAAUGGCCUCCAUCCCAGGGCCUGGAGAGCAGCCAGAGACAAGAAGAGUAGCCCAGGAGGGCACUGGCAGUCAGUGCUACACUGUGGCCUGUCAGUCUCAGAGCCAGGAUUUAAUCACUGGAUCUCCCAUUAACCAGUCAUAAUGAAGUAAGAACAAGAAGAUGGGGAAGAGGAAGUGUAAAACCGUGGCUUAAAUUUGCCAAGGAUAAGCUGAGUGUACUUCAGCAGUCAUUUGCACAGAAUCCUUAUCCUAAUUUUACAACCAGGGAAAAACUGGCUGGACAGUCUCUUGUCCUGUGUUUGUAAUUGAUAACUGGUUUCAAAAUAAAAGCCAGACCACCACUUAGAGAGAGACACAGAAUGUUCACUGCCAGGGAACUGCAUGAUUCCUCUGCCAAAGGCCACCCAUUUACAAGAAUCCAGGAAAACCAGGUGGAAUCUCCCAAUGAUGACCCUGAGCAGAACUUCUUGUACCCAGGAAGUUCUACUGGGUGGAGCUGGCCACUCUUCCGUGGAGACACAGGGGACUCCCAAUUAACAUGAUGGCUCAAAUAACUGUAGCCUUAUGGAUUAAAAGGAAACUAAGCUGUGAUUUGGAGUAUCCAGGUGAUACAGAAAAUGGCCCUUGUCGAUGUAGAUCAGCAUUAUUUCCUUAUCCUUCUGCAUCUCCUCCUCAGUAUUCUGAAAGGGACAAGCCUGAGAUGGGGGAAAGCCAGCAUGCAAGGCCCUCCCCUUUGUGCUGUGUUCAUGGUGUGCACGGAGAGAGGCAGCAGCAGGAGGAACAGAAAGGUUAUUUUCUUUACUGACUCUUUCAAGGACAUCAGCAGAAUGGUUGGGAAUGUCAUCAUGAGCAGCCUCAGCCUCAGAAUUACCAGGAGAAGCUGGUCUUCCAGGAUCAGGUUCUAAUGUAUAUGAGUCACAGGAUUUAGGGAAGCAGGCACUUUCCCUUCAGUCCCAGCAGCAUGGUUGAUGUUCCCAAGUAAUGGAGAGUCCCUGUGCUCUCAGUUGUGGCACACACCUUUGCAAAUAGUGAUCAGAUCUCCACAAACGCCUCUUGGGUAAGAUAUGCAGCAACAUAGCUGGCUGCAGAGCAACCCAGUUCCCAAAUCCAGCAGCUCUUGGAUGAGAAGUCUGCAAGUGUUUACUGCUGGGACCAGGACUGUGUUUCUAGGAAAUGGUGCUAGGCUUCAGAGAGCAUCAUCCACAGGUCAUCCCACAACCAUCCACACAGAAGCCUGAGGAAAAGGGCUCUGCAGAGCUUGCACAUAAAGAUGCUGAACUCAGGAAGGCUCUGUGAGCUGCUGGUCUCUUCUGGUAGGGCAGCAGUGUCCUGAGAAGGUGGAGCUAGAGUAUGGAGAACAAAACUAACAAGCACCAAGGCAGCAAGCAAGGCAACCCCCAAAUGACAGCAGUUGCCAAAUCCAAAGCAAUCUGUGCUUCAGAAGACAGAGGCUCUGCACAGUCCCUGUCUCAGACAUUGUCUCCUCCUUAGAAGAUACCUAACAACAGCACUGUGGGAGGCUGAGGUGGGUGGAUCACCAGGUCAGGAGAUCAAGACCAUCCUUGAUCUUUAGUAGAGACGGUGAAACACUGUCUCUACUAAAAAAUACAAAAAAAAAUUAGCUAGCCGUGGCGGCGGGCACCUGUAGUCUCAACUAUUUGGGAGGCUGAGGCAGGAGAAUGGCCUGAACCCGGGAGGCAGAGCUUGCAGUGAGCUGAGAUUGCGCCACUGCACUCCAGCCUGGGCAACAGAGUGAGACUCCAUCUCAAAAAAAAAAAAAAAAAAAAAAAAAAAAGAUACCUAACAAGCAGUACAAGAAUAUGAAGGACCCCACUGCCCAGACUUUGUAUGGAGGGGUGUCUAAGGUGGCUACAGCAAAGCUGUCAUCUCCAUCGACCGGGACAGCAUCUCCAGCCAUGAUGUGUGGCCUGCUGGAACAGCAGCCAUGUGUCCUUUCACAGACAGCCCACCAAAGCUCUGACUGUGAAGGACAUCCCAACAUCAGCCUAGCCUGCAUACACUUAAGGCAUAGAAUCACCUGAGGCUUCUCCGUUGAAGACAGGGACUCCCGAUGGAGUUGCAGCCCCAGCUUUGCACUGUAAAGAGCCCCAGGGGGCUUCUGUGCUAGAGCAGGUGUGCAGACCCCUCCUCACCCCCUUCACUGAGAGCUGCUGCCUGGAACCAGUGUUUUGACUGAGUCACCUCUGGACGUGGGCCCACAAGAUCUGAGAGUGCCCAGACGAGAAGUUGAAUGCCUUGUGUUGACCUGAGUGUUUGGAAAAAAGCCCCAAACUUUGAAACAAUUUUCAUAAUUUUGAGCUUCAGGAUGUGGAAUCACUUCUCAAGUAUUCUGGAGUUCUGUCCAUCAGAGCGGGUCCUGCCAAUGCUGCCCUGUGCAGCGCUUCAGGCUGCAUCCCUCCCACUAGGGGGCGCCUUUCACAUAGUGGCGCCUGCCUUCUAGAGGAGCAACAUUUCCUGAACUGCAGGGUUCCCUCGGGGCUUUGUGUAAAACACAUCCACUGCAUAGAAUUUGUGUUAUUUCCAUUUUGUUUUCUUGACAAUAUUUAAUUAAUUACAAAAUGAUGUAUGUUAUGAUAGUUUAAGCAAUACAGAGAGUAACCAAACAAAAGCUUGGUCUUUUAUUCUCGCACUCUGAAUUUACAGUCCUGAAAACUCUAAACUCAUCAUAUAAUCUAUAUUGUAAAGACUUUGAUAAUCCCUUCCCUUGCCUUUCCUUUCCCCAUUCCCCCUUCCCCUUCCUUCUUCUACAUUGUAUGAUGUUUUUCAUAUUUACAUUCUAACCAAUUGUGUCAUGUGAUACUAAUUUGCAGAAUAAAGCAUGUUUUGCACAUAUUUCCAAGUCAUAUAACAUGCAGACAUACUUCAUUUUGUAAAUAUCUUCCUUCUCUUACUAUAAGAUUGAGAAUAGGUAAAGAGCAACUCUCCAAUGCAGGUGAUGAGUGUGAUUUGCACUAUCACUUUGGACAGCCAAUUGGAAUAUUUAUUGAAGUCAUAGAUGCCCAGCAAUUCUGUUACUGGAUGUGUCUCAUAGACAAACUCUUGGACAUUCUUAUAGAACACUGAGCCCAAAGAAGACACAUCAUAUAAUGUAAGAAGCUAGGACAGCUUAAAAAAAAAAGGCCUAGAUCUGUGUAAUUGUGUGAGUGUUCUCGGACAUACUGUUUGUAAAAAAUCGAGUUAUUGAGUAGUUUGAUAAUAUGAUAAUCAUGAAAAUAAAGGAUAAAGCAGCGAGUAAAAAAAAAAAAAAA
rnacentral:lncRNA from 1 species